rnacentral:rRNA from 1 species
UACGAAGGGGGGCUAGCGUUGCUCGGAAUCACUGGGCGUAAAGCGCACGUAGGCGGAUCUUUAAGUCAGGGGUGAAAUCCCAAGGCUCAACCUUGGAACUGCCUUUGAUACUGGGGAUCUCGAGUCCGGAAGAGGUUGGUGGAACUGCGAGUGUAGAGGUGAAAAUUCGUAGAUAUUCGCAAAGAACACCAGUGGCGAAGGCGGCCAACUGGUCCGGUACUGACGCUGAGGGUGCGAAAGCGUGGGGAGCAAACAGGG